GGCCAGCCCCGCCCUCAGGGCGGGCUGAGGGGCGGCUCCCUGGAGGGCCCGCCCGCGAGCCGGGAGCCAGCCGCGCAGUGCGAGUUCAGCCGGCUUCAUUCACGCUCCUCAUCAAAUCUCUCCAACUCUGUUCUCGCAUCCCGAGUUUAGAUCCCGCAGCGUUAAGUAUCCGGCGUGUAAAGGGAGGAACUGAGAUUCCCAGAGGGCAUAACUGAUGGAGGCACGAAGAUGUCUGCUCUUCAGCUUUGCCAAGGAGGCUGAUCUGUAGAUACUCCUUCACCUGGGCUUCUUUGUUAUCUGGCUUCUGGAAGAGAAAGAGAGAACAAUGGGAGAGAAAAGUGACAUUCAGGAAUGAGCCUCUAAACAUGGCCACAGCUCAGUGAUACUGACGAACCAAACAUCCCUUUGCUGGACCUAUGCAAACAUGAAACAGACAAAGAGAAGCAGGACAUUCUUUGGGAGUCCCAAAAACCCCGACCUGAGAAAGCUCUAGAAGCACUGCGUUAGCCCGCCCCCCACCCUGUACGUCUUGAGUGCUUUGCGAUUCCACGGAGUUGUCUGUGACACGUCCAGCCCAUCGCCGCCCUGCUCUGCCUGCCUCUCUGUGGGAGGAUGGAUCUGAGGUUCAUGGACACUGCACUUCUCCUCUUGUAGGAUUCUCUCCAGUAAAGCCUCUUCUGCAUUUAAUACCACAUGGCACUGGAGAGGGUUGCCUUUGUCCUUCUUCCAUGGCACCCGGCCACACACAGGCGCACCGUGUUCCCAAUGCUGGGUGUUCCUGGAAGAGGCCUUGUUCCCCAGUACUGAGUGUUUUUGGAAGAGUGCUUGUUCCUGAUGCUGGGCAUUUCUGGAAGAGGCCUUUUUCACUGGGGCCUCCCUAAGAAUGGAAGGGUAAUAAUUUGUUCCUAAACAUCCUGGCAGAUCCCAGCGUCUUUAUAUGGUUGGGAUGGGGAGAAAUGAGAGUAGCUAAAUGGAUGCUAGCCUCUGUCUGCAAGGCAAUACACACUUUACAAAGCAUCACGUCCACUCUGUCUUUUGUGGUUCACCGGAGCCUUCUGAAUUAAAGAGGAAAUGGCUGGCAGGGAUGAUCCCAUCUACCUGCCCAGCCAAUCCAGCAGAGAAAGGUGUCCCUUUCCCCUAAGGAAGCUCUGAGCGGACAUGCUGUUUGCUCUUUUGGAGCAUGUACAGAAGAGGAGCUGGAGUCCCAGAACCAUUAGGCAUGAGAGAGUUACUCCAAUACAGGGCAAGGUUUUUGGAUGUUUUGUAUUGUAUUUAUCAAUGCUUUUUAUUGGGCUUCUAAACACUUUACAGUGUUCUUAGAGCCAAAAAACUAUAAAAUCAUCAAGAACAGGUGCAAUAAUAAAAGCAAUAAUGAUAAUAUGAGUAGCUAUUCCUUCUCAUAUAUUCGCCGUUUGCCAGGCCUGGUUCUAAGUGCCAGUAAAAGACCAGGCCAGAAUUCCAGCUCAGAUCUUAUUUCUUACUUUUUAUCACCUCACCUAUAAGGUUUUAACAGGUGUAGGAUUUCAGCAGUAAGAAUAAUUUGAUGUGAAACCAAAGAAUUCAUGAGAUAGAAAGACAAAAAAUCCUAUCCUUUUCCCCUAGGACUAAGGUGGCCGCCAUGAGAAAGACCAGAUUCUCAAGAAGAAAUCAUCUGUGAAGGAUUUUGAUCAGGCAACAUGGGCAUGCAGGUUUAAACACAGCCCCCAUCCUGCCCUGCCUGGCAAGCCACUUUCUCCUAUGUUCAUGCAUGUCUAGAUUUCUCAGUGAAAAACACAGCUGAACUCAUGAAAGCCUAUCUUUAAAAAAUAUUAAGUAGCUAAUCUUAUAAACCCCUA